AGUCUAAAUAGGCAAAUCCGUUUAGACAAUGCUAGGAUGUGAUGGGGAAGCCCUUCGGGGCGAAGUAGCUGAUUUCACACUGUCAAGAAAAGCUUCUAUCGAGUUUAAAGGCGCCCGUACCGUAAACCGACACAGGUGGGUGAGGAGAGUACCCUAAGGCCAGCGAGAGAACUAUUGUUAAGGAACUCGGCAAAAUGACCCCGUAACUUAGGGAGAAGGGGUGCCUGUCUAUGACAGGCCGCAGAGAAUAGGCCCAAGCGACUGUUUACCAAAAACACAGGUUUCUGCUAAGUCGUAAGACGAUGUAUAGGAGCUGACGCCUGCCCGGUGCUGGAAGGUUAAGGGGAUCUGUUAGAGCAAUCGAAGCAGUGAACUUAAGCCCCAGUAAACGGCGGCCGUAACCAUAACGGUCCUAAGGUAGCGAAAUUCCUUGUCGGGUAAGUUCCGACCCGCACGAAAGGCGUAACGAUUUGGGCACUGUCUCAACAAUAGACUCGGUGAAAUUGUAAUCCCGGUGAAGAUGCCGGGUACCUGCGACAGGACGGAAAGACCCCAUGGAGCUUUACUGUAGCUUGACGUUGGGUCUUGGUACUACAUGUACAGGAUAGGUGGGAGACUAUGAAGCAUGGACGCCAGUCUGUGUGGAGUCAUCCUUGGGAUACCACCCUUGUAGUACUGGGAUCCUAACCAUAGGCCUUGAAUCAGGUCUUGGAACACCUUCAGGUGGGCAGUUUGACUGGGGCGGUCGCCUCCUAAAAAGUAACGGAGGCGCUCAAAGGUUUCCUCAGCACGGUCGGAAAUCGUGCGAAGGGUGUAAAGGCAAAAGGAAGCUUGAUUGCAAGACAUACAGGUCGAGCAAGGACGAAAGUCGGACUUAGUGAUCCGGUGGUACCGCAUGGAAGGGCCAUCGCUCAACGGAUAAAAGCUACCCUGGGGAUAACAGGCUUAUCUCCCCCAAGAGUCCACAUCGACGGGGAGGUUUGGCACCUCGAUGUCGGCUCAUCACAUCCUGGGGCUGUAGUAGGUCCCAAGGGUUGGGCUGUUCGCCCAUUAAAGUGGUACGCGAGCUGGGUUCAGAACGUCGUGAGACAGUUCGGUCCCUAUCCGUCGCAGGCGUAGGAAAUUUGAGAAGACCUGUCCUUAGUACGAGAGGACCGGGAUGGACGUACCUCUGGUGUACCAGUUGUUCUGCCAAGGGCAUGGCUGGGUAGCUAUGUACGGAAUGGAUAAGCGCUGAAAGCAUCUAAGCGCGAAGCCAACUUCAAGAUAAGAUUUCCCACCGUAAGGGUAAGACCCCAGGAAGACUACCUGGUUGAUAGGUCGAAGGUGUAAGUGCAGUAGUGUAUUUAGCUUAUCGAUACUAAUAGGUCGAGGACCUGACCAA
rnacentral:rRNA from 1 species